AUUGAACGCGGGCGGCAUGCUUUACCAUGCAAGUCGAACGGCAGCACGAAAGAGCUUGCUCUUUUGGUGGCGAGUGGCGAACGGGUGAGUAAUGCAUCGGAACGUACCGAGUAAUGGGGGAUAACUAUCCGAAAGGAUAGCUAAUACCGCAUACGCUUUGAGAAGGAAGGUGGGGGCUCUUCGGACCUCACGUUAUUCGAGCGGCCGAUGUCUGAUUAGCUAGUUGGUGGGGUAAAGGCCUACCAAGGCGACGAUCAGUAGCGGGUCUGAGAGGAUGAUCCGCCACACUGGGACUGAGACACGGCCCAGACUCCUACGGGAGGCAGCAGUGGGGAAUUUUGGACAAUGGGCGCAAGCCUGAUCCAGCCAUGCCGCGUGUCUGAAGAAGGCCUUCGGGUUGUAAAGGACUUUUGUUAGGGAAGAAAAGGAUAGUGUUAAUACCAUUAUCUGCUGACG
rnacentral:rRNA from 1 species